rnacentral:lncRNA from 1 species
GGGUGAAACAAGUCAUUCUUAUAAAUGCUAAAAUUACUAAUGUUGUAAAAAAGAUUCUGACGAAGGAAAAAAACAUGGGAUGAAAUCCAGAAAAAAUAGGGGAGGGGGGAUCCCAAAAUAAUAUAAACUUUUAUCUUUGUAAACAUUAAAUGCUUGUAAAUUGUAAAAGUAGGUUAUGAUUUCUAAAGUAAUGCUGAAUUGUGCAGUAUACUUGAGGUAGAUCAGAAGGUAGUAUUGAGAUGUCAUUAGCACACCACCAAUUGUCUUUAAAAAUAAAUUAAAAUGAAUAAAAAAUCACAAAAAUCAUUUAAAUAUGAGAUUAAGCUUUCAGAGUCUCUAAAGACUUGGGAAUGUAUUGUACUUUAUAGCUUUAUUUCUGACAUAGAUGGACAUAUUCUAAAGCCAGGAGAUUUCAACCAAUUUGUUUGAAAUAGACCUGAUUUUAUAAAUCUCCGAGACUUUAAACCGUUGUUUCUGAUUUAUAUAGAGAUCUAAGAAUAAAUAAACUGGACAAAGACAAUCAGUUGACCAUUAACUUUAAGUAAGGAUAAUGUAUUCACUAUUUUUGUGUGGAGAUAACCAGGUCAUAAAUUUCAAAGGAGAUUUCAUUUGAAUAAAAAUAUAGUAUAUAUGCUAAUACACAUAAUUAACAGGGCCUCACCUGGUGAUGUUUCAUAGCCUGACAGGUUUCGGUCCAAAAAGGACCUUCAUCAAAAGCAGAAUGGUGGAUUAAUGUUUGCACCCUAUAUAUAUAUAUAUAGAUACAUGUAUGGUAACCGGCAGUUCAGAGUUAACCGGCGGUUCAGAUUUUUCACUGAGAUUUCAUUUGAAUGUUUAAUUAUAUUUUAAAAGACAAACAUAAUAACUAUCUUAAUUUAGAAGAUUUCCACUAUUUGUUUGUUCUUUAAUCAUUACAACCUUCAAUUCCUGUUGCUAAUAAAUACAAACAAAUCUAAAAUAAAGGAGAUUCAUCCAUAAAUGUUUGGUAAACAAACAACUAGUCUAAGAGACAGAUCUUUAAAAUUAUUGGAUUCUAACUACUGGUUGUCUAAAAGAUUACAGAUUUUAACCACUGUUUCUGCUAUAAAUAGAAAGAUUUAAACAUUUAGGAGAU